rnacentral:piRNA from 1 species
UAGGAUUCUGCAGACGGAAAUACACAUCCUU